rnacentral:rRNA from 1 species
GAGUUUGAUCGUGGCUCAGAUUGAACGCUGGCGGCAGGCCUAACACAUGCAAGUCGAGCGGUAGAGAGAAGCUUGCUUCUCUUGAGAGGCGGCGGACGGGUGAGUAAUGCCUAGGAAUCUGCCUGGUAGUGGGGGAUAACGCUCGGAAACGGACGCUAAUACCGCAUACGUCCUACGGGAGAAAGCAGGGGGACCUUCGGGCCUUGCGCUAUCAGAUGAGCCUAGGUCGGAUUAGCUAGUUGGUGAGGUAAUGGCUCACCAAAGGCGACGAUCCGUAACUGGUCUGAGAGGAUGAUCAGUCACACUGGAACUGAGACACGGUCCAGACUCCUACGGGAGGCAGCAGUAGGGAAUUUUCCACAAUGGGCGAAAAGCCUGACUGGAGCAACGCCCGCGUGCAGGAUGAAGGCCUUCGGGUUGUAAACGU